CAAAUAUAUGAUUACUUUCUCCAUGCAGCUUCCUCCUGUAUAUCUAAACCAACGUUUUUUAAUAGAAAGAUAUUUACGAUAACAUACCUCAAUACUGUUUCGCUCUCAGCUGAAUUGUUUCUGAAGGUUAGAAAUUGCCAAAGUUAUUCUCGAAGGUGUAAUCAAUCGCUUUGGAGACUUAACGUUAAUGGAGGAUCGUCGCAUUCGUUCAAUCUUCGACAGUUCCUGAUGGCCAUUAAAUUUUGUCGAAGUCUUUGGAGAAUUCUCUGUACAGUGGUCCGCGAGAGUCACGUUACACGAGAAAGUUUUCUGGUACUUAAUGUAGGGUUCAGACUAACUUCACCGAGCAAACACCGACCUGCUUCAGUUCUCACUGGAUGUUCAAUAGUCCGUUUCUUAUUCGCCACUG
rnacentral:lncRNA from 1 species